rfam:Kluyvera ascorbata ATCC 33433 GKAS.assembly.095, whole genome shotgun sequence.
CAAGCAUGAAUGCUGCUAUUUUCCGCUUCUUCUUUUACUUUAGCACCUGAACUCAGGAGGCUUGCGCGUGAAAGAAGAAACGAAAAAUCAGCGCCAAUAAGCCUCCGGAUGGAGGCUUUUUUUGU